rnacentral:rRNA from 1 species
GAUCAUUACCGAGUGAGGGCCCUCUGGGUCCAACCUCCCACCCGUGUCUAUCGUACCUUGUUGCUUCGGCGGGCCCGCCGUUUCGACGGCCGCCGGGGAGGCCUUGCGCCCCCGGGCCCGCGCCCGCCGAAGACCCCAACAUGAACGCUGUUCUGAAAGUAUGCAGUCUGAGUUGAUUAUCGUAAUCAGUUAAAACUUUCAACAACGGAUCUCUUGGUUCCGGCAUCGAUGAAGAACGCAGCGAAAUGCGAUAAGUAAUGUGAAUUGCAGAAUUCAGUGAAUCAUCGAGUCUUUGAACGCACAUUGCGCCCCCUGGUAUUCCGGGGGGCAUGCCUGUCCGAGCGUCAUUGCUGCCCUCAAGCACGGCUUGUGUGUUGGGCCCCCGUCCCCCUCUCCCGGGGGACGGGCCCGAAAGGCAGCGGCGGCACCGCGUCCGGUCCUCGAGCGUAUGGGGCUUUGUCACCUGCUCUGUAGGCCCGGCCGGCGCCAGCCGACACCCAACUUUAUUUUUCUAAGGUUGACCUCGGAUCAGGUAGGGAUACCCGCUGAACUUAAGCAUAUCAAUAAGCGGAGGAAAAGAAACCAACAGGGAUUGCCUCAGUAACGGCGAGUGAAGCGGCAAGAGCUCAAAUUUGAAAGCUGGCCCCUUCGGGGUCCGCGUUGUAAUUUGCAGAGGAUGCUUCGGGUGCAGCCCCCGUCUAAGUGCCCUGGAACGGGCCGUCAUAGAGGGUGAGAAUCCCGUCUGGGACGGGGUGUCUGCGUCCGUGUGAAGCUCCUUCGACGAGUCGAGUUGUUUGGGAAUGCAGCUCUAAAUGGGUGGUAAAUUUCAUCUAAAGCUAAAUACUGGCCGGAGACCGAUAGCGCACAAGUAGAGUGAUCGAAAGAUGAAAAGCACUUUGAAAAGAGAGUUAAACAGCACGUGAAAUUGUUGAAAGGGAAGCGUUUGCGACCAGACUCGCCCGCGGGGUUCAGCCGGCAUUCGUGCCGGUGUACUUCCCCGUGGGCGGGCCAGCGUCGGUUUGGGCGGCCGGUCAAAGGCCCUCGGAAUGUAUCACCUCUCGGGGUGUCUUAUAGCCGAGGGUGCAAUGCGGCCUGCCUGGACCGAGGAACGCG